AUUGAACGCUGGCGGCAGGCCUAACACAUGCAAGUCGAGCGGAUGAAGGGAGCUUGCUCCUGGAUUCAGCGGCGGACGGGUGAGUAAUGCCUAGGAAUCUGCCUGGUAGUGGGGGAUAACGUCCGGAAACGGGCGCUAAUACCGCAUACGUCCUGAGGGAGAAAGUGGGGGAUCUUCGGACCUCACGCUAUGAGAUGAGCCUAGGUCGGAUUAGCUAGUUGGUGGGGUAAAGGCCUACCAAGGCGACGAUCGGUAACUGGCCUGAGAGGAUGAUCGUUCACAUUGGGACUGAGAGACGGCCCAGCCUGCUACGGGAGGCAGCAGUGGGGAAUAUGACACAAUGGGCGGAAGCCUGAUGCAGCAACGCCGCGUGUGGGAUGACGGCCUUCGGGUUGUAAACCGCUUUCGCCUGUGACGAAGCGUGAGUGACGGUACUGGGUAAAGAAGCACCGGCUAACUACGUG
rnacentral:rRNA from 1 species